UCCAUUGAAAAGAGGGCGAUUUUGAAAAAGGCUUCCUUGAGUAGAUAUUUCUGCACAGCUCAUCAUUUCUGCCCAUUCUAAAAACUUUCCAACCAACAAAAUCAUGUUGGGACAUCACGAUUUUCUAACCCUAACCCUACCCUGGUGCACACCCCUAACCCUUCUAUAGGGCAAAUGUUCCA